rnacentral:rRNA from 1 species
UGCCAGUGAUAAACUGGAGGAAGGUGGGGAUGACGUCAAGUCAUCAUGGCCCUUACGAGUAGGGCUACACACGUGCUACAAUGGCGCAUACAAAGAGAAGCGACCUCGCGAGAGCAAGCGGACCUCAUAAAGUGCGUCGUAGUCCGGAUUGGAGUCUGCAACUCGACUCCAUGAAGUCGGAAUCGCUAGUAAUCGUAGAUCAGAAUGCUACGGUGAAUACGUUCCCGGGCCUUGUACACACCGCCCGUCACACCAUGGGAGUGGGUUGCAAAAGAAGUAGGUAGCUUAACCUUCGGGAGGGCGCUUACCACUUUGUGAUUCAUGACUGGGGUGAAGUCGUAACAAGGUAACCGUAGGGGAACCU